rnacentral:rRNA from 1 species
CCUACGGGAGGCAGCAGUGAGGAAUAUUGGUCAAUGGGCGCGAGCCUGAACCAGCCAAGUAGCGUGAAGGAUGACUGCCCUACGGGUUGUAAACUUCUAUUAUAAAGGAAUAAAGUGAGGCACGUGUGCCUUUUUGUAUGUACUUUAUGAAUAAGGAUCGGCUAACUCCGUGCCAGCAGCCGCGGUAAUACGGAGGAUCCGAGCGUUUUCCGGAUUUAUUGGGUUUAAAGGGAGCGUAGAUGGGUUGAUAAGUCAGUUGUGAAAGUUUGCGGCUCAACCGGAAAAUUGCAAUAGAUACUGGUAGUCUUGAGUGCAGUAGAGGUAAGUGGAAUUCGAUGUGUAGCGGUGAAAUGCGUAGAUAUAAGGAAGAACACCGAUGGCGAAGGCAGCUCUCUAAACUGCAACUGACGUUGAGGCUCGAAAGUAUGGGUAGCGAACAGGAUUAGAUACCCGAGUAGUC